rnacentral:misc_RNA from 1 species
AAAACUUUCUUUCGCUUCCUACUUCAGCGAUGACAUGGUGUUACAGCGCUCCCCGCAGGCGGCCAUUGUUUGGGGGUACUGCACGAAACCAGGUCAGAACAUCACGGUGACGGUUUCUGGGAGACAGCCCGUGGGGGCGUUCUCUGUGGACUACCCGGAUGUACAGGGAGGGGUGUGGUCCGUGUCUCUAUCCCCCGAGGACGGCCCGGGGCCCGUGACCAUUGAGGCCACUGAUGGACAUGACUCGGUCCGCCUCUCCGGUGUCCUGUUUGGAGAUGUCUGGAUCUGUUCCGGACAAAGUAACAUGGAGUUCACGCUGGAUAUGGCACUGAACGCUACCACUGAGUUGGCAGACGCCGUGCACUACCAGAACAUCCGGGUCUUUACUGCCACCAAGAGAACAUCGUCAAAAGCAGAGCUAGAUCUACUACAGAUUGAUGAGCCGUGGUCAAAACCCAGUAAAGACACGCUGGGACACAAGCCGUGGACCUACUUUUCGGCCGUGUGCUGGCUGUACGGGAAAUACAUCUACCAGAAGCUGAACUACCCUAUCGGACUGGUGGCCUCUUCCUGGGGAGGGACGGCUAUCGAGCUCUGGUCGUCCCCUGACGCCCUCAAACUCUGCAACAUCCCGAACGACUCAAACAGUAUAUAAUUGUUGGGCAUCGCGCUGAAGUCCCUGAACCAACAAUAGUUCUCUCCUUGGGAAUAAAAAAUCAUCAUCCAUUCUUGACUGGGUAUAAAUCGUAAUAUACCGCACAUACCAGAGAUACCAUCUAAUGUUCUUCACAGUUGAAAACUUUUUAAUGAGUUAUGAUAUCUAUACGAACAAACUUUCGAUAUUCCAGAAAAAAGAGUGCCAUUUCUAAUUCCCAAUUAUGGAACGCCAUGAUGCAUCCAUUCACCAAAAUGACACUAAAAGGCGCGAUAUGGUACCAAGGGGAGGCAAAUGCUCAUAAACCGGACACCUACAAAUGUACGUUUCCCACCAUGAUUGAUGACUGGAGAAAGAAAUUCAGCGCAGCUUCCGGUACAACGCCCAACUUCCCGUUUGGUUUUGUUCAGCUGGCUCCGAACCGUAACGACUCUUCCGUCACUUCCGGUUUCCCCGACAUUCGGUGGCAUCAGACGGCGGACACUGGAUACGUACCUAACCACCGCCAGCAGAACGUGUUUAUGUCUGUGGCCAUGGACUUACCGGACUUUAUGUCACCGUACGGCAGCAUCCACCCCCGGGACAAGGAGGAUGUGAGUCGUCGCCUGGCCCUGGCCGGCCUCUCCGUGGCCUAUAACAUGUCCCUGGGGCCCUUCCAAGGCCCCCAGAUAACCGCCUUCUACGCAGACAUCGGCUUCUUCACCGUGGGGUUCGAGUUUGAUGACGCAGUGGACAUAGAAGUCCGGUCGAAAUCUGGCUUUGAGCUUUGCUGCUCGACCAACAACCAGUCUCGUUGUGACGGCACGGACUCGGUCUGGAUGGAGACCCCCAUCAUUAAGGAGGAACCCCACAAGAUCACAGUCUCCUACAAGGGCACCUGCUCCAACAAGUACAUCAUGGGGUACCGCUACGCUUGGAGGGAAUCCCCCUGCCCCUUCAAGGAAUGCGCUCUAUACGUCAAGGGAACAGACAUUCCUUUCGGACCAAUGUUUGGAUUGGGACUAAUAAAUGACAAAAAAGUGACGCCCAAAGAAAAUAAAAUUGUAUAAUUACUGAAAUUUAAGAUAAACUUGACAUGUACAGGUUGAGAACUGGAACAAAUGAUAUUUGUGAAGGAACUAUAUAUGAUAUUAAUCAAAUUUGGCCCCCAUAAUUCGCCAUUUAUUAAAGUGUUUCAGGUACAUU